rnacentral:rRNA from 1 species
AUAAAAUUAACUAGAAAAAAUAAAUCAAGAAUAGUUAGUCUGUAUAAAGUAUAAGUUAGUGAUAAUGAAAUCUUUAUACAUAAUUUUAUUAAAAUUUCAAUUAAUUUAAGUGUAUUAUUAGGGGCUGUGCGUGGUCGCCGAUUUGGUUCAUACCCACGAUCGUAUUGGUUCGAUUCCAAUCAGCCCCCUGUAUAUUAUUUAUUUAAAAUUAGUAGAUCUUAUUAAGAUUGAAAAAUGACUAUUAUCAUCAUUUCGAUAGUGCAAAGUAAUGUGAAUGAAAAAUUAAAAGAGUUAAAUGAAAAGAUUAUGAAAUAUCUUAUAUAAUGUACUUAAAGCUUAAGUAAUAAGGUACCUUUUGCAUAAUGGGCCAGCAAGUUAAUGGAUAAGGUAAGUUGCUUAAACAUAUAAUCUUAUACAUUAGACACGAAACUAGUCGAUCUACUAAUGAGCAGAUUUUAAGGAUCGAACCCGUGAAUGUUGCAAAAUUCUGGGAUGACUUGUUAGUAGGGGUGAAAGUCCAAUCAAGAUUAGUUAUAGCUUGUUCUCCGCGAAAUAUAUUUAAGUAUAGUGAGUAUGUUUAUAAACGGGGUAAUCUUAAUGUAAAUUUUUUUUGUUAAAAGAGUAAUACGUAUUAUAAAUAAUACUUAAUCAGACAUAAGGUGUCAAGGUCUUAUGUCAAAAGGGAAACAGCCCAGAUCCUUUAAUAAAGUUCUAAAUUAUCACUAAUUAUAAAUACUAUUGAUGUAGAAAUGCAGCAGGUAAGCCUAAAAGUAGCUAUCCUUUAAAGAAAGUGUAAAAACUCACUGCAUAAAAUAAUUUACUGAUAUUUUUUUUAUACAUCAAUAGUAACUAAUGUAGGGAAAUAUGUGAUAAACUGAAGUAAGGAGUAACUAAAUUAGUUGCGGUAGCGGAGCGUUUUUUAAAAAAUAAAUAAAUCGAAAGAUUUAUGGUUUUAUAAAUUGUGUUAAUGCUGGCAUGAGUAAUGUUUUAUAGAUGUUUAUUCAUUAUUAUCGAAAAUUCUAAAGUUGUGCUGUAAAGGAAAGCUGCAGCAUCAAAUUCGGUUUCUUUUAUAAAGAAUAUAUUUAUUUAUAUAGGAAAAUAUUUGUUUUUGCAGAAUUAAAAGUUUAUAUAUAUUGGAUGAAUUUAUAUAGUAUAAAUAGAUUUUUCUAUAAAAAAAAUUAACAAAAUAACUAUACCGUAUAAAAUCCAACACCGGUGAAUAGGUAGAGAAUACUAAGAUAACGAUUCAAAGAUAUUGAAGGAACUCGGCAAAAUGACUCUGUAACUUCGGGAUAAGGAGGUCUUUUUAGAUUCAUAAAAUAGGGGGUGGCGACUGUUUACUAAAAACACAGGACUCUGCUAAAUAUAAAAUGUUGUAUAGAGUCUGACACCUGCCCAGUGCUGCUAGAUAAAAAGAUUUUUUAUUAAAUUUCUAUAAGUCUCAGUAAACGGCGGCUGUAUUCCUGACGGUCCGAAGGUAGCGAAAUUCCUUGGCGAUUAAUUGUCGUCCUGCAUGAAUGGUGUAACGACUGCCCCGCUGUCUCCAAUAUCUGAUCGAUGAAAUUAAAUUAUAGGUGAAAAUGCCUUUAUAUUAUAGCGGGACGGAAAGACCCUAUGCAUCUUUACUAGAACCAUUUAUUUUUAUAAGUAUUUUUUAAAUUAGAAAACUAGUUUAUUUAAUAUUUAUUUUAUUAAAAAUUAAUAAAAUAUGAAUGGAUGCUAGUUUAACUGGGGUGGUUGUCUUCUAAAAAGUAUCGAAGAUGAACAAAGGUUAAUUAUUCAUUAAAGUUGUAAAAAUUAGCUUGAUUAUUAAAUUGAUAAAUUUAAUAAAAGCUGUUAGCUUGUCUUAAUGAUCCGAUAUUUAAAAAAAAUAUCGAUAAACAGAUAAAAGAUACGCUAGGGAUAACAGGCUAAUAGUCUUUUAGAGUUCAUAUUGACAAGACUGUUUGGCACCUCGAUGUCGGCUCAUCGCAUCCUGGUUAUGGACAAGUUUCCAAGGGUUGAUCUGUUCUAUCAUUAAAGCGGUACGUGAGCUGGGUUUAGAACGUCGUGAGACAGUUUGGUCCCUAUCUGCUAUAUAAUUAGUUAAUUUAUAGUCUUACUUUAGUACGAGAGGACUGAGAAGGAUAAACCUAUGGUAGGCCAAUUAUUUUAUUAAGGGUACGUUGGUCAGCUAAGUUUAGAUCCGUUAUUUAACCAAGGUUAUUAAACGCUAAUAAAAUUAACUAGAAAAAAUAAAUCAAGAAUAGUUAGUCUGUAUAAAGUAUAAGUUAGUGAUAAUGAAAUCUUUAUACAUAAUUUUAUU